GAUGAAGAACGCAGCGAAAUGCGAUAAGUAGUGUGAAUUGCAGACUUUAGUGAAUCAUCGAAUCUUUGAACGCACAUUGCGCCCGCCAGUAUUCUGGCGGGCAUGCCUGUUCGAGCGUCAUUUCAACCAUCAAGCCCCCGGCUUGUGUUGGGGACCUGCGGCUGCCGCAGGCCCUGAAAUGCAGUGGCGGGCUCGCUGUCACUCCGAGCGUAGUAGUUACAUCUCGCUCUGGGCGUGCUGCGGGUUCCGGCCGUUAAAAGCCUUAUUUACCCAAGGUUGACCUCGGAUCAGGUAGGAAGACCCGCUGAACUUAAGCAUAUCAAUAAGCGGAGGA
rnacentral:misc_RNA from 1 species